AUUGAACGCUGGCGGCAUGCUUUACACAUGCAAGUCGAACGGCAGCGCGGGCUUCGGCCUGGCGGCGAGUGGCGAACGGGUGAGUAAUACAUCGGAACGUGCCCAGUAGUGGGGGAUAGCUCGGCGAAAGCCGGAUUAAUACCGCAUACGACCUGAGGGUGAAAGCGGGGGAUCUUCGGACCUCGCGCUAUUGGAGCGGCCGAUGGCAGAUUAGCUAGUUGGUGGGGUAAAGGCCUACCAAGGCGACGAUCUGUAGCUGGUCUGAGAGGACGAUCAGCCACACUGGAACUGAGACACGGCCCAGACUCCUACGGGAGGCAGCAGUGGGGAAUUUUGGACAAUGGGCGAAAGCCUGAUCCAGCAAUGCCGCGUGUGUGAUGAAGGCCUUCGGGUUGUAAAGCACUUUUGGCGGGAACGAAAAGGACUGUGCCAAUACCACGGUUCGAUGACGGUACCCGCAGAAUAAGCACCGGCUAACUACGUG
rnacentral:rRNA from 1 species